rnacentral:rRNA from 1 species
UACGUAGGUGGCAAGCGUUGUCCGGAAUUAUUGGGCGUAAGCGCGCGCAGGCGGUCCUUUAAGUCUGAUGUGAAAGCCCGAGGCUCAACCUCGGAACUGCCUUCGAUACUGCGGGUCUCGAGUCCGGGAGAGGUGAGUGGAAUUCCUAGUGGUAGAGGUGAAAUUCGUAGAUAUUAGGAAGAACACCAGUGGCGAAGGACG